rnacentral:rRNA from 1 species
AUUGAACGCUGGCGGCAUGCCUUACACAUGAAGUCGAACGGCAGCGCGGGAGCAAUCCUGGCGGCGAGUGGCGAACGGGUGAGUAGUGCAUCGGAACGUGCCCAGUUGUGGGGGAUAGCCCGGCGAAAGCCGGAUUAAUACCGCAUGAGACCUGAGGGUGAAAGCGGGGGAUCGAAAGACCUCGCGCGACUGGAGCGGCCGAUGUCAGAUUAGGUAGUUGGUGGGGUAAGGGCCUACCAAGCCUGCGAGCUGUAGCUGGUCUGAGAGGACGACCAGCCACACUGGGACUGAGACACGGCCCAGACUCCUACGGGAGGCAGCAGUGGGGAAUUUUGGACAAUGGGCGCAAGCCUGAUCCAGCCAUGCCGCGUGCGGGAAGAAGGCCUUCGGGUUGUAAACCGCUUUUGUCGGGGAAGAAACGGCCUGGGCUAAUACCUUGGGCUAAUGACGGUACCCGAAGAAUAAGCACCGGCUAACUACGUGCCAGCCGCCGCCGUAA